rnacentral:rRNA from 1 species
ACGAACGCUGGCGGCGUGCUUAACACAUGCAAGUCGAACGGAAAGGCCCUGCUUUUGUGGGGUGCUCGAGUGGCGAACGGGUGAGUAACACGUGAGUAACCUGCCCUUGACUUUGGGAUAACUUCAGGAAACUGGGGCUAAUACCGGAUAGGAGCUCCUGCUGCAUGGUGGGGGUUGGAAAGUUUCGGCGGUUGGGGAUGGACUCGCGGCUUAUCAGCUUGUUGGUGGGGUAGUGGCUUACCAAGGCUUUGACGGGUAGCCGGCCUGAGAGGGUGACCGGCCACAUUGGGACUGAGAUACGGCCCAGACUCCUACGGGAGGCAGCAGUGUGGAAUAUUGCACAAUGGGCGGAAGCCUGAUGCAGCAACGCCGCGUGCGGGAUGACGGCCUUCGGGUUGUAAACCGCUUUCGCCUGUGACGAAGCGUGAGUGACGGUAAUGGGUAAAGAAGCACCGGCUAACUACGUG